rnacentral:misc_RNA from 1 species
AUUCUCUCUCUCUCUGUUUUCCCUUGAGAAAAGCAAAGUAUUCAUACUCCAUUGCUAAGAUUGAGAAGGGAGACAAUGAAGAAUUAAGUAUUUAAGGCACUAGCCCUGCCUAAAGAAAGAAUCAAUUUUAGUGCCCUUAAAAUAGUAGCACCACCCCGCUGUCACAUGAUUAAUAAUUACUCAGAUUAAAUUUGUUUAGGAAACAUGGAUAAUGGCUAAAAUGGAAUUAAUACCCCACACUUCCCCCACUGGACACAACCUACAUCUUAAUUGCAGUAAUGGCAGAAUUUGUCAGUUUACCUUGGA